UUGUCUCAAAGAUUAAGCCAUGCAUGUCUCAGUACAAGCCAAAUUAAGGUGAAACCGCAAAAGGCUCAUUAAAUCAGUUAUGGUUCCUUAGAUCGUACCCACAUUUACUUGGAUAACUGUGGUAAUUCUAGAGCUAAUACAUGCAAACAGAGCUCUGUCUGGAGCGCUUUUAUUAGAUCAAAACCAUUUGGUGUUGGGCGUAAGCUCUUCAUCGUAUAAUUUGGUGACUCUGAAUAACUUUAUGCUGAUCGCACGGUCUUGCACCGGCGACGUAUCUUUCAAAUGUCUGCCUUAUCAACUGUCGAUGGUAGGUUCUGCGCCUACCAUGGUUGUAACGGGUAACGGGGAAUCAGGGUUCGAUUCCGGAGAGGGAGCCUGAGAAACGGCUACCACAUCCAAGGAAGGCAGCAGGCGCGCAAAUUACCCACUCCCGGCACGGGGAGGUAGUGACGAAAAAUAACGAUACGGGACUCAUCCGAGGCCCCGUAAUCGGAAUGAGUACACUCUAAACCCUUUAACAAGGAUCAAUUGGAGGGCAAGUCUGGUGCCAGCAGCCGCGGUAAUUCCAGCUCCAAUAGCGUAUAUUAAAGUUGUUGCGGUUAAAAAGCUCGUAGUCGAAUUUGUGUUCCGCGCCGCCGGUUCAUCGUUCGCGGUGUCAACUGGCGUGUCGCGGAACGUCCUGCCGGCGGGCCUAUCUUUUUUAUAAAGUAGGUCCAACUCAAUCCCGCCGCGGUGCUCUUCAUUGAGUGUCGAGGUGGGCCGGUACGUUUACUUUGAACAAAUUAGAGUGCUUAAAGCAGGCUAAAAUUUUGCCUGAAUAUUGUGUGCAUGGAAUAAUGGAAUAGGACCUCGGUUCUAUUUUGUUGGUUUUUGGAACCCCGAGGUAAUGAUUAAUAGGAACGGAUGGGGGCAUUCGUAUUGCGACGUUAGAGGUGAAAUUCUUGGAUCGUCGCAAGACGGACAGAAGCGAAAGCAUUUGCCAAAAA
rnacentral:rRNA from 1 species